rnacentral:tRNA from 3 species
GGGUGGUUAGUCUCAGUUGGUAGAGCGCUGCCUUCACACGGCAGAGGUCACUGGUUCGAGUCCAGUACCACCCACCA